rnacentral:rRNA from 1 species
GACGUAGGGCGCGAGCGUUGUCCGGAAUUAUUGGGCGUAAAGAGCUCGUAGGCGGUUUGUCACGUCUGCUGUGAAAACUGGAGGCUCAACCUCCAGCCUGCAGUGGGUACGGGCAGACUAGAGUGCGGUAGGGGAGAUUGGAAUUCCUGGUGUAGCGGUGGAAUGCGCAGAUAUCAGGAGGAACACCGAUGGCGAAGGCAGAUCUCUGGGCCGUAACUGACGCUGAGGAGCGAAAGCAUGGGGAGCGAACAGG